AGAUGAAGUUAGCCUUCUCAGCUAGCCUUUAGAUUUGUCUGUUAACAGUAGAAAUGCUAUAAUAAAUCGGUAACAUAUGUUGCCAGGCAGGGAAAAGUGGUAGACAAGAGCCUGGGAGACCAAGCCAAGUACCAUGUGAAAGAAUUCAAAUUUCAAUCUAUUUGCUGCUAAUUACCAUCUGAAAAGUAAUUUGAAAGUGUUGUUACUUGCUUAUAUUCUUCCUCAUUUUUCUUUCUUUCUUUCUUUUUUUUUUCUCUUCAGAUUGCUUUCUUACCCAAAUUAUCUCCGUGAUUGCCUGUCCUGAGGCUUUGGGCCAAUGCAAACUACGGAAUGGCAAGUCUUACAAUCUUGUCUGUCCUUGUCUGGCAUCCAUCCUCCUUCCAGAGUGAACAGAGGUAUAUCCAUAAGCACCGGACACUGAUUUCACAGCCUCAUCCAAAGCCAGGCAAUUCUUGAGGCAAACAAACAAAGGGGUGUGAGUGAUUUCAUUUAUUUUGAUAAUCCUCUGUCUGCACAGGGGCACUUUGCUGUCUUUGUCAAAGUGAAUGACAACAAUUUGGCCAACUCUCUCUGAGCUGCACUCAACAGUGACAGGCAAAUUAUCAGA
rnacentral:lncRNA from 1 species